AUUGAACGCUGGCGGCAGGCUUAACACAUGCAAGUCGAGCGGAGCGAGGGUGCUUGCACCUUAGCUUAGCGGCGGACGGGUGAGUAAUGCUUAGGAAUCUGCCUAUUAGUGGGGGACAACAUUCCGAAAGGAAUGCUAAUACCGCAUACGUCCUACGGGGGAACGCAGGGGCUCUUCGGACCUUGCGCUAAUAGAUGAGCCUAAGUCGGAUUAGCUAGUUGGUGGGGUAAAGGCCUACCAAGGCGACGAUCUGUAGCGGGUCUGAGAGGAUGAUCCGCCACACUGGGACUGAGACACGGCCCAGACUCCUACGGGAGGCAGCAGUGGGGAAUAUUGGACAAUGGGCGGAAGCCUGAUCCAGCCAUGCCGCGUGUGUGAAGAAGGCCUUUUGGUUGUAAAGCACUUUAAGCGAGGAGGAGGCUACUUAGAUUAAUACUCUGGGAUAGUGGACGUUACUCGCAGAAUAAGCACCGGCUAACUCUGUGUCAGCAGCCGCCGCAGUAA
rnacentral:rRNA from 1 species